UACAGAGGUCUCAAGCGUUGUUCGGAUUCAUUGGGCGUAAAGGGUGCGUAGGCGGCGCGGUAAGUCGGAUGUGAAAUCUCGGAGCUUAACUUCGAAACUGCAUUCGAUACUGCCGUGCUUGAGGACUGGAGAGGAGACUGGAAUUUACGGUGUAGCGGUGAAAUGCGUAGAGAUCAGCAGGAACACCCGUGGCGAAGGCGGCCCCCUGGGCCGACACUGACGCUCAUGCACGAAAGCGUGGGGAGCAAACAGG
rnacentral:rRNA from 1 species